CCUACGGGUGGCAGCAGUAGGGAAUCUUCCACAAUGGGCGAAAGCCUGACGGAGCAACGCCGCGUGAGUGAUGAAGGUCUUCGGAUCGUAAAACUCUGUUAUUAGAGAAGAAAAAUGGUGCAAGUAACUGUGCACGUCUCGACGGUAUCUAACCAGAAAGCCACGGCUAACUACGUGCCAGCAGCCGCGGUAAUACGUAGGUGGCAAGCGUUGUCCGGAAUUAUUGGGCGUAAAGGGAGCGUAGGCGGUAUGUUAAGUCUGAUGUGAAAGCCUCCGGCUUAACCGUGUAAGUGCAUUGGAAACUGGAAGACUUGAGUGCAGAAGAGGAGAGCGGAAUUCCAUGUGUAGCGGUGAAAUGCGUAGAUAUAUGGAAGAACACCAGUGGCGAAGGCGGCUCUCUGGUCUGUAACUGACGCUGAGGUUCGAAAGCGUGGGUAGCAAACAGGAUUAGAUACCCGAGUAGUC
rnacentral:rRNA from 1 species